GGAGAGAUGGCCGAGUGGUUGAAGGCGCACGACUCGAAAUCGUGUAAACCCCCAAAGGGUUUCGAGGGUUCGAAUCCCUCUCUCUCCGCCA
rnacentral:tRNA from 1 species